rnacentral:lncRNA from 10 species
GAAAAUGAAAUUCACCCAUCAGGCCACACCUCAAAGGACCUUCAGUAUUACGUCAAAUAACAGUGGUGAAAGAGGGCAUCCUUGUCGUGUUCCACAUUUUAAUGGAAGGGCUUUCAGGUUUUCCUCCAUUUGUUGUGAUACUAGCUGUGGGUCUGUCAUAGAUGGCUUUCAUUAUGUUGAGUAAGCUAAAGCAAUUACUGAAUUUGGCUUGGAAUGUUUCUUGGAAGAUCAUCCAGGGAGCUGGCUUGGAUCAGAAAGUAGAAGAGAUGGACUAAAUAUGGAGCCAUGCCGCAAGUGUCAUUUGCAUGAAAAGGAUUAUCUUUGUAGAAAAGGCUAAAAGAAGAUAUUCUUUAUUGUUAAAAACAACAACAACAACAACAAAACCUGAAGUUGCACACUCUCCCUGGCUGUGAGAAAGUAAAGCUCAAACACACUGAAAACCCUGGAUCAUAAGGAAAUGUUCUGUUGGUUUUGGCUCUUCCAUCAUACAAAUCCCUGGAAACAUGCUUGUCUGGGGAAUAAAGUCAUCUGCUUUAAAAAUAAAGAAAACCAGAAUAAUGUAAUUCUUGUUAUUUACAGGGAUUAUGUUCUAUACAAUCACCUCAGCUAUUGCUCUGAGGGGAAUUAACAAAACCUCAGCUAUUGCUCCUAGGGGAAAUAAAUACAGGGUUACAGUCCUGCAAACCUUUCACAGCAGCAUUUCAUCAACUUAAAUACAAUUUGCAUUCACAUUAUAUGAGUUCCUUUGCCAAUAUCCUUGUAAAACAAGCUGGUUUCAUCAGUGUUGAAAAACAACUCGUCCAUGUA